CUACGGAGGGUGCAAGCGUUGUUCGGAAUUAUUGGGCGUAAAGAGCAUGUAGGCGGUCUGUUAAGUCUGGUGUGAAAGCCCUGGGCUCAACCCAGGAAGUGCAUUGGAUACUGGCAGACUUGAGUAUGCGAGAGGAAAGCGGAAUUCCGAGUGUAGGAGUGAAAUCCGUAGAUAUUCGGAGGAACACCAGUGGCGAAGGCGGCUUUCUGGACCAAUACUGACGCUGAGAUGCGAAAGCGUGGGGAGCAAACAGGAUUAGAAACCCUAGUAGUCC
rnacentral:rRNA from 1 species